rnacentral:lncRNA from 1 species
UCCUCAUCUGUUUUGGGUAAAACAAUGUUUUCGUCGAUUAAUACAAUAUAGCUUUCGCUAAAAUCGACCAACAAACAAACAUUUUUCUACCCAGAACUACGUAAGCCUUGAUUUCUCUUUUGAGAUACGUAGGAGCAGGAUUCGUAAAUCUUGUCAGGCCCAUUAAUAAAAAAACUUAGGUUUAGUCCUUCGUCAAAAAUCCAAAAACAUUCUCCUCUCAUCCUUUCUUUCUUUCCCACCUAAUAAUUCGAAAAGCCUAAUAUUUUAACUAACACUAACACACACAACUAACCUAAUGGUUCCCGUUGAGUAUAACGGACGUGAGGGGUGCUAAUAUCUUCCCCUUGCGUAAUCGACUCCCGAACCCUGAUAUUGGUUGCGAUGACCAUAUUUUAUCCUUUCUUUUAGGGGUUUUAUCGAUAUUUUUCCUUUCCCAUUUUUGGGAAUAAAUAAAGUUCGGUGGCGACUCUGUUCAGUCCAUCAAUGUGAGCGUGCGAUCGCGCUUCACUAAAGUCGUAUCCCCAUUUUUCGAGGUGCGAUAGGGACUAUGAAGCCUUGAAGAAAACUAUUGAUUUUCUAUAGAAGAAUAAGGAUGAAUACCGUGCAAAACUUAAUGGUUUGGUGGAGUUCUGUAAAUGAUCAACCAGGUACAUGCUCUGGAAGUUGAGGGAUGUUAUGGAGGAACUAGACAGUUUUAUCUUGCUCUGCAAAUAAGUGUUGAGGAGGUUCAAAGAGGAGUUGGAAGAACUCAAAGCACGAAAACAUAUUGUCUGAUUUUCGCUUUUUGUACUUUACUUUUUAAGAAAUUUGGUAUUUGGGAUGUAUUGACAUAAGCUUUUGAGCCUUUGUAAUACGUACUUGUUG